ACACAAGCUAUCGCUGACUGCCAGUGCAUGUUGGAAAUGGGCCACAGGGCUGGGCAUGAUAUGAGCUGCCUGGACAUUGGAGGGGGCUUCCCCAGAAUGAAGGGCUCCAGGCCCAAGUUUGAGGAGCAGUUGAGAACAACAAGCAAUAACAACCAUACGAAGAAUCUAGCAAACUCAGACUUUACUUCUCCUUUUCGUGGUCCUGGAAACAGCUCAGAAUAAAGUGGAUCUGGACCUCUACAGAAGAGAGGGAGCUCCAGAUUCCAGGUCACUCACGCCGUGCACUCAGUGGCUCCUCCGGAGUCCAUUUGAACACAAUGAGUUCGUGCUGAUACCAAACACCAAGUGCCAAGAAUGAGUUCUGGGUGUCUGCGGAUCCUGCUGGAAUUCUGCCGAGUAUGCUGUCUGUUGACCCAAAAGCAAGGUUUCUCUGCCCAGACAUGCAGGAUUUCUUCAGCAAAGCAAAAGCCCUGCAGAUUACCAGAUCCAUCCUCUCCUAAAGCCAGG
rnacentral:sRNA from 1 species